rnacentral:tRNA from 1 species
GAGGGUAUAGCUCAGUGGUAGAGUGCAUGCUUAGCAUGCAUAAGGUCCUGGAUUCAAUCCCCAGUACCUCCA